GGAGGGGUGGCCGAGCGGCUGAAGGCAGCGGUCUUGAAAACCGCCGAUGGGAAACCAUCCGCGAGUUCGAAUCUCUCAUCCUCCGCAA
rnacentral:tRNA from 1 species